AGGACAAACGCUGGCGGCGUACCUAAGACAUGCAAGUCGAACGGUCCUUCUGCGGGGGGACAGUGGCGGACGGGUGAGUAACGCGUACGGAACCUAUCACGGGGACGGGGAUACCCCUGGGAAACCAGGGCUAAGACCGCGUACGCUCUCUUGCGGAAGGGCGAGAGAGGAGAGGGGGACAUGAGGAGUGUUCUCU
rnacentral:rRNA from 1 species